AUUCCAGCUCCAAUAGCGUAUGUUAAUGUUGUUGCAGUUAAAAAGCUCGUAGUUGGAUUUCUGGAUUGAGCGGCUGGCCUUGCGCGCAAGCGUUCGUGUCGGCUUCGUUUCGGUCCAUCCUCAGGGGGACUUGCGCUGGCAUUAACGUGUCGGUGUUGGGACGCCUGUCGUUUACUGUGAACAAAUUAGAGUGUUCAAAGCAAGGUGUACUUGAAUACAUUAGCAUGGAAUAAUAAGAUAGGACUUUGGUGGUUCUUUUUGAUAUUUUGUUGGUUUGCACGCCAAAGUAAUGAUUAAUAGGAGCAGUUGGGGGUAUUCGUAUUCAAUUGUCAGAGGUGAAAUUCUUGGAUUUAUAGAAGACGAACUACUGCGAAAGCAUUUACCAAGGAUGUUUUCAUCA
rnacentral:rRNA from 1 species